ensembl:snRNA U6 U6 spliceosomal RNA
GUGCUUGCUUCGGCAGCACACAUACCAAAAUUGGAAUGAUACAGAGGAGAUUAGCGUGGCCCCUGCACAAGGAUGACACAUAAAUACUAUGUUUGUGAAAUUUAC